AACGAACGCUGGCGGCAGGCUUAACACAUGCAAGUCGAGCGGGCCCUUCGGGGUCAGCGCCCGACGGGUGAGUAACACGUGGGAACGUACCUUUUGGUUCGGAACAACUCCGGGCAACUGGAGCUAAUACCGGAUAAGCCCUUAGGGGGAAAGAUUUAUCGACAAAAGAUCGGCCCGCGUCUGAUUAGCUAGUUGGUGGGGUAACGGCCCACCAAGGCGACGAUCAGUAGCUGGUCUGAGAGGAUGAUCAGCCACACUGGGACUGAGACACGGCCCAGACUCCUACGGGAGGCAGCAGUGGGGAAUAUUGGACAAUGGGCGCAAGCCUGAUCCAGCCAUGCCGCGUGAGUGAUGAAGGCCUUAGGGUUGUAAAGCUCUUUUGUCCGGGAAGAUAAUGACUGUACCGGAAGAAUAAGCCCCGGCUAACUUCGUG
rnacentral:rRNA from 1 species